ACUCCUGCGGGAGGCAACAGUGGGGAAUAUUGGACAAUGGGCGCAAGCCUGAUCCAGCCAUGCCGCGUGAGUGAUGAAGGCCCUAGGGUUGUAAAGCUCUUUCACCGGUGAAGAUAAUGACGGUAACCGGAGAAGAAGCCCCGGCUAACUUCGUGCCAGCAGCCGCGGUAAUACGAAGGGGGCUAGCGUUGUUCGGAUUUACUGGGCGUAAAGCGCACGUAGGCGGACUAUUAAGUCAGGGGUGAAAUCCCGGGGCUCAACCCUGGAACUGCCUUUGAUACUGGUAGUCUUGAGUUCGAGAGAGGUGAGUGGAAUUCCGAGUGUAGAGGUGAAAUUCGUAGAUAUUCGGAGGAACACCAGUGGCGAAGGCGGCUCACUGGCUCGAUACUGACGCUGAGGUGCGAAAGCGUGGGGAGCAAACAGGAUUAGAAACCCUGGUAGUCCCAUG
rnacentral:rRNA from 1 species